GUGCCAGCCGCCGCGGUAAGACGUAGGGCGCGAGCGUUGUCCGGAUUUAUUGGGCGUAAAGAGCUCGUAGGCGGCUUGUCGCGUCGAAUGUGAAAUCCCACAGCUCAACUGUGGGCUUGCAUUCGAUACGGGCAGGCUAGAGUUCGGUAGGGGAGACUGGAAUUCCUGGUGUAGCGGUGAAAUGCGCAGAUAUCAGGAGGAACACCGAUGGCGAAGGCAGGUCUCUGGGCCGAUACUGACGCUGAGGAGCGAAAGCGUGGGGAGCGAACAGGAUUAGAUACCCGAGUAGUCC
rnacentral:rRNA from 1 species